AUGGCCACCAGGCUCCUCUGCUGUGUGGUUCUUUGUCUCCUGGGAGAAGAGCUUAUAGAUGCUAGAGUCACCCAGACACCAAGGCACAAGGUGACAGAGAUGGGACAAGAAGUAACAAUGAGAUGUCAGCCAAUUUUAGGCCACAAUACUGUUUUCUGGUACAGACAGACCAUGAUGCAAGGACUGGAGUUGCUGGCUUACUUCCGCAACCGGGCUCCUCUAGAUGAUUCGGGGAUGCCGAAGGAUCGAUUCUCAGCAGAGAUGCCUGAUGCAACUUUAGCCACUCUGAAGAUCCAGCCCUCAGAACCCAGGGACUCAGCUGUGUAUUUUUGUGCUAGUGGUUUGGU